rnacentral:misc_RNA from 1 species
GAUGAAGAACGUAGCGAAAUGCGAUAAGUAAUGUGAAUUGCAGAAUUCAGUGAAUCAUCGAAUCUUUGAACGCACCUUGCGCCCUUUGGCCAUUCCGAAGGGCAUGCCUGUUUGAGUAUCAUGAACACCUCAACUCUUUAUGGUUUUCCAUGAUGAGCUUGGACUCUGGGGGUUUUGCUGGCUCACAGUCGGCUCCUCUAAAAUGAAUCAGCUUACCAGUGUUUGGUGGGUAUCAUGGGUGUGAUAACUAUCUACGCUUGUGGUUUUUACACCAGGUAACCUUCAGCAGUGGAGGUUCGCUGGAGCUCAUAGAUGUCUCUCCUCAGUGAGGACAGCCCUUUGAAUGUUUGAUCUCAAAUCAGGUAGGACUACCCGCUGAACUUAAGCAUAUCAAUAAGCGGAGGA